AGUGAACGCUGGCGGUAGGCCUAACACAUGCAAGUCGAACGGCAGCACAGUAAGAGCUCCUUGUUUCGGCGGCGGACGGGCGAGGGGUGCGGAAGAAACUGGAAGUUACUUUUUUCUGGGGGGCGAAGGCGGGCAAUAUUACCCUAUACCUCCUUAGGACCAACGGGGGAAAUCUGGGGACCUCAGGCCCUCGGCUGAUCGGAGGUCGGAUUAGCUAGUUGGUGGGGUAAAGGCCUACCAAGGCGACGAUCCGUAGCUGGUCUGAGAGGAUGAUCAGCCACACUGGAACUGAGACACGGUCCAGACUCCUACGGGAGGCAGCAGUGGGGAAUAUUGGACAAUGGGCGCAAGCCUGAUCCAGCCAUACCGCGUGGGUGAAGAAGGCCUUCGGGUUGUAAAGCACUUUUGUUGGGAAAGAAAAGCAGUAGGUUAAUACCCCGCUGUUCUGACGGCACCCAAAGAAUAAGCACCGGCUAACUUCGUG
rnacentral:rRNA from 1 species